rnacentral:tmRNA from 1 species
UCGAUUGCACAGAACAACCGAACGUGGCAUCAAUGUCUGGCCGGGCAACCGGCUAUGGCGAUAAAGGCGCUCGUAAUAAGCGGAUCGGACCCGGGGGCGGUACCCGGCGGCUCCACCAAAAUCCCCCGGGUUGGCGGGAUCAUGGGGCCGAAACAGGAUCGACGAACGUCCAAAGGGGUAAGCUUUCGCUCGGUGAGGCACCACCGUCAUCGGUCCAAAACGCAUAGUUGCCAACACCAACUCUGCUCCGGUUCGUGCCCUCGCCGCGUAAGCGGCCCGGGUGAACCACCCUCAAGUCCUGUCGGGUAGCACCGCCAGGCGGGGCCCCCGGGAGCCUGGCAACAGAAUCCCGGAUC